rnacentral:rRNA from 1 species
GAUGAACGCUGGCGGCGUGCUUAACACAUGCAAGUCGAACGAACGACUAUUAACAGAACCUUUCGGGGCGAAGAUGAUAGAAGUUAGUGGCGGACGGGUGCGUAACGCGUGGGUAAUCUGCCUUUGUCAAAGGAAUAACUAUUCGAAAGAAUAGCUAAAACCAUAUAACAUAUUAAUAGGGCAUCCUAAUAAUAUCAAAACGAUAGUGGACAAAGAUGAGCCCGCGUCUGAUUAGCUAGUUGGUGAGAUAAAAGCCCACCAAGGCAACGAUCAGUAGCCGACCUGAGAGGGUGAACGGCCACAUUGGAACUGAGACACGGUCCAAACUCCUACGGGAGGCAGCAGUGGGGAAUAUUGCACAAUGGGGGGAACCCUGAUGCAGCAACGCCGCGUGAGUGAAGAAGGCAUUCGUGUCGUAAAACUCUGUAGUAGGGGAAGAAAGAAAUGACAGUACCCUAAAAGAAAGCCCCGGCUAACUACGUGCCAGCAGCCGCGGUAAUACGUAGGGGGCAAGCGUUAUCCGGAAUAACUGGGCGUAAAGGGUGCGCAGGUGGUUUAACAAGUUAGUGGUGAAAGGCAUAGGCUCAACCAAUGUAAGCCAUUAAAACUGUUUAACUUGAGUGCAGGAGAGGAAAGUGGAAUUCCUAGUGUAGCGGUGAAAUGCGUAGAUAUUAGGAGGAAUACCAGUGGCGAAGGCGACUUUCUGGACUGCAACUGACACUGAGGCACGAAAGCGUGGGGAGCAAACAGG